rnacentral:rRNA from 1 species
GGACGGGGCCGCACAAGCGGUGGAGUAUGUGGUUUAAUCGAUGCAACGCGAAGAACCUUACCUGGUCUUGACACGUCCCGGACGACCCGUUAAGGAAACGUAGGGGGGUGCCUUUCCCAUCUGGAAGAAUCUGGAGACAGGUGCUGCAUGGCUGUCGUCAGCUCGUGUCGUGAGAUGUUGGGUUAAGUCCCGCAACGAGCGCAACCCUUGCCUUUAGUUGCCAGCAGUUCGGCUGGGCACUCUAAAGGGACUGCCGGUGUUAAACCGGAGGAAGGUGGGGAUGACGUCAAGUCCUCAUGGCCUUUAUGACCAGGGCUACACACGUACUACAAUGGCCGAUACAAAGGGCAGCGACACUGCGAGGUGAAGCCAAUCCCGUAAAAUCGGUCUCAGUCCGGAUUGGAGUCUGCAACUCGACUCCAUGAAGUUGGAAUCGCUAGUAAUCGUGGAUCAGCAUGCCACGGUGAAUACGUUCCCGGGCCUU